AAGAGCCCAAACCAAGAAGCUUGCUUCUUGGGGUUGUAGGACACUCUAUACGGAGUUACAAAAGAAAGUUAUAAAUGAAGCGGUCUGGAAAGGCCCGCCAAAGACGGUAACAGCCCGGUAGUUGAAAUGGCUUUCCCUCCAGAGUGGAUCCUGAGUACGGCGGAACACGUGAAAUUCCGUCGGAAUCCGGGAGGACCAUCUCCCAAGGCUAAAUACUCCCUAGUGACCGAUAGUGAACCAGUACCGUGAGGGAAAGGUGAAAAGCACCCCGGAAGGGGAGUGAAACAGUUCCUGAAACCGUGUGCCUACAAGUAGUUAGAGCCCGUUAAUGGGUGAUAGCGUGCCUUUUGUAGAAUGAACCGGCGAGUUACGAUUUGUUGCAAGGUUAAGCGGAAAAAGCGGAGCCGUAGCG
rnacentral:rRNA from 1 species